UCGGAAGUGCUUGUUCGCUCGGCUUUCGCUGCUCUUGCGUGUGUUGUGGCGCUGAAGUUCCGCGGAGCACACACACGCACACAUACACACACGGCGCGCACACGACAAGAGAACUCGAGGGCACACAUAUGUGUACGUCGUUCCGCGCGCAGGAACACGUAGAGGCGGUGCAGUUGCAUCCUUACCGCCGCCUAUCUCUUAGUCCCCAUCGGCCGCACCCCUUCUUCCCCCUCUCCCUGUGCGCGUGUAUGUGCCCCUGGCAGUGUGCGCGAGCUCUAGAUCAGGUCUCACCUUCUCCCUCUCUCUGCGGUCUCGCUUGCUCUGCGUAGAUUCGGCCUUCUCCGUUUUUCGGAGCCCCGUUGGCGAGCAGAGCGCCUCGCCUCUACCUCCCAGCGCCGCCGCCAUGGACGUCUCCACCUUCUCCUCCUCGGCGCAGGAUGAUGCACGCGUGACGUCGGCAUCGCUGUCUGGCGAUGAUGCGGCCACAGCGGAGGCAUCACUGUAUCCUUCGUCGUCUACUCCACUAGCGGCAGCGGCAGCGUCAUCCUUGUCACCUGUGGGGAUGGGCAGUGCUACUACUGCCGACGUUGGUCGCUGGGACGCGACCACCAUUCUUGAAGCGCUGCGGUGGAUGAGUGGUGCUGAAAGCAGCGGCUCUCGGUGGCAAGGGCGACCGCUUGAGAUUGGCGAUCCGCCGGCCAACCGAAGCUGCACCCCGGUUGAGUCAAGCAUGGGGGCGCCAAAUGUAUCGCCCCAGGCAGCGCUGCCGCACUCUGCAGCAGUGCUUCCCACGAGCCAAGAGCACUGCAGCAGGUCACGGGCUCCCGCGGCGAGCGAGCCGAUCCCGUCAGCGGCCAUUGCAGCCGCGCAGCAAGGCCCUUCCUGUUUCGCCCCCUCCUCUUCUCCUCCCGCGCCGCUCGGUCAAGAAGACGCGACGGUGUCACCGCACGAUCACACGCCGACGCAGCGCCGCAUCGCUGCUGCGCACGCACAUCGCAUGGAGAGGUGCGACGGCGUUGAAGUGCAGCCCCAUAUCCGCGCUGACACGGGCCCCACCGCGGGCGUCGACUCUAUCGGGCUCGUGUCCUCCAUUUUUGCCUCACGAAGCGCGGCGACAGCCGCCUCGCGCACGUCACCGCAGGAGAGCGAGGUACCUCCAGCGGCUGCGGUGCGGCGAGCUCGAUCCGCCCCACUCCAAGCACUCGCAUCUGCUGCUGUCAGUGCUGCCUGGGGACCUGUUGCCGCGCCUCAAAGUGCGGCCGUGGGCACAGGGGUCGGUGGUACGCUGUGGCAGCAGGCGUUUGCAGCGCACGCGGAGACGCUGCUGCGCGAGACGCAGCAGCAGGUGGAUGAGCUGCGCCGGUACCAGCAGAAGGCCGCGCGAGAGGCCCAGCGGGCUGACGCAGUAGCAGCCGCGAACCGUGCACUGGAAGUCCAGCUCGCUGAAGCGGACGCGAAGCGUGCCGAGGACCGUGCAGCACACGAGAGUGCUGUCAACGCGCUGUCGCAGCAGGUGCUGCGACUCGAGGAGGCUGUUGGGGUGCUGCGGCGCACAAAACUGGAGCUGCAGCGGCAGAUCAAGGGGGCUCAGACAGCAGCGGCACAGCAGGAAGCGGUGCACCGGCGUGAGCUGCGAGAGGUGCGAAGCGCAUUCGAAAGUGAACUGAAGCGAAUGCGCGCCGAGCAGCACCUGCAGGCAGAUGAGUGGCGCCACGAGCGGCACCGCCUCGAGGAAAAACUAGUCGAGUGGGAUGUGACGGAGGUCGCGGUGUCCACGCAGCAGAUGCAGCUGUUGACGCGUCGCGCCGAGCUCGAGCGUAAGCACGAGGCCGUCGCAGCUGCUUCGCUGGGUGCGGCGCCGACGCCUGCAUAUGAAGCCGAGGCAGAGCGCGCCGCCGCUGUUCCUCGCGUGGAUGCGGCCACCAGCACUGACGUGGUGGCGUUGCCCGCCGCUCAAGCGAUACCGCAAGAGAGCGAUGCCUCGCCAUACACGCGUGUGCAUCGUGACGUGCUGGCGCAGCAGCAGCUGCGGGAACAGACCAUGCUGUCUGAGCUGUCCAUUGCUGACGCCCGCAUUCAGCAAGAGUCGAAGCAGCGACGACUCGCCGAGGAGCGCGUGGCCGAACUGCUGGAGCAGAGCGAGCAGCUGCGGGAGGCACUGACGAAUGCCGAGGCGGCCGCUGCCAACACGGAACGCGUGUCUGAGGUGGCGAGGCAAGAAACAGCGGUGGCGGUCACAGCCAAGGCGGCCGGCGGCAGAGACAAUGCCGGUCACCAGAUGGGUCGGCGCGACGCCGUGGCGCACGGCACCGAGCAUGAUCUGCGAACGCAGCAGAGACUGCUGCAGGAGAUUCAAUACGAGUACACUGCACUUCGUCGAGAGAGCUCCGCCCUCUUUGAGCGGUACAGAGAGCAGCAACGUUGUGAGACGGAGCGGUGGGCUGCCGUACGCUCCGCCGUUGGUGCUGUCCUCCAUGUGGCGGGCUUACACGACGUUCGGAGUACUCUCGAGCAUGCUGCUGCUGCUGCUGCUGCGGAUACGUCAAAUCUCAGCUGCCUUGGCGAAGUCCUCGCAGACUCCAGUGAGGCGUCGCUCAAUGCCACCCUGGCCGCGCUCGACACUCUCGCCUCCACACUGCGCUCGCAGCAGCAGGCCGCCGCAGCGGACGAAGCGGCGCUGCAGCAGCAGCGACGGUUGUCAACGCUCGAGGAGGCGUUGCGCGUGGCGGAGGCUCAGAACGAGGCGCGCAUCGCGUCUCUCUCGGCCACCGAGGCCCAGUUGCACGAGUCGCAGCGCGAGCUUUCGGCAUGGCAGAGGCGCCACAACGAUCUAGCGGCUCGCCAGGACGUUUAUGAUGCGGCGUGGCGAGCGGCAGAGGUGCAGCUGAAGCAGAUCAUAGGCAUUCUGCGGCGUGCGCUCCGAGAGUACGCUCAGCCCCUGUCUGCAUCGUUGGCACGGCUGAGCUCUCCGGGUGAUGAUGCCGACAGCGCAGGCCGCCGAGUCACGAGGAGGAGGAGCGCUCGCGCGGUGAAGCGGCGGUCGCAGAGUUCGCCCGCCUCUGCCGCGUCGCUCGACGGUAUCGAGGACAGUGAAGGCCACGCUGCCAUGCUGCCAACAACGGCUGACGCUGCGCCUGUGUGGGCAUCCGAUGGCGACGCGAUUGCAGACGCGGAUUUGGAUGACCUGCUUCAAGACGCUUUCGUGCUUCCCAAGGUGGCCGGCGAGGGGGACAAGAUGGAUCGCCCUGAAGCCGUUGCCGACGGUGAAGGCGAAUCGCUCUCGCGGCGGCGCACCACACGGACUGCGAACCUGCCCCAGUCAUCGGCGGCUACGCUCGUCGUCGUGGAAUCCACGGACGGUGGUAGUGAUGCAUCACACAGUGAAGUGCGUCGUGAUAUGGCGGUAGUGGUGUGGGGUCUGUUGAAGUUGCUCACGGCGUGGCGCGAUCGCCAGCACGCUCUCGUAGAGGCACGCAAGGCGUUGCAACGGCAACUCGCAGAUAUGACGGCGAAGAACACCGCCCUGGUAGAGGAAAGGCGAGAGGCGGCGACACGCUGUCAACGACAGCUGCGCCUCUCUCGUGCCGCGGAGCAGCGCCGCGCGCACCAGCUCGAGCAGGCACACAAAGAAUUGGAGGAUGUGAAACGAAAGCACAUGCUCGACAGCGCGCAAGCACACCAGAAGGCGGCCGAGUGGGAAGGCGAACGCGAAGCGCUCCGCCGCCGUCUACGCGUCGCCGAGGAGCAGCUGAACCGCGCCGAGCAGGCGCUCGUGGAGGCAGAUGUGGAUCACAACGCUCAGCACGCUUCGCAGGAAAUGCUGCAGCAUGCAUUAAGUGACGUCACGGCGGCGCGCGAUCGUCUGGAGCGCCGUCAGGCUGACCUUUGCGUGCACAUCGAGGAUCUAGAAACACGACUGUCGGUCACAGAGCGGACGCAGACGGACCUGCACGCGCUGAUCACAACAUCCGUGGCGUUCAUCGUGCGACUCUUGGCGGACCACGAACAGCUGCAGGAACACUAUCGAGUUCUGCGCACGCUCGCGUGGACGGAUGCGCAGACGGCGAGGAUGGUCGAGCGCGUACUAGAGAACUGCUGCCCAGAAAGAAGUGAGCAAGCGACGGCACUGGUCGGUGAGAGGGGGCUCCCCUGGUCAACGGGAGCUGCAAGUGGAGUAUCCGCUUCCCCUGCGGGGGCCGCGCCGCACUCAGCGACUUCUUCUACGCUUCUCCGUAUAGCUGGACAUGCUGUGCGAGCGGUGUUGCGGCUUUCGCGACUCCUGACAGCGCGCCAGCGUCUGAGGAGUCACGCCGGUACGCGCCGCAGCGAUGGCUCCAUCCUCUCGCCCUCGGCAGCAGCAGCGGAGCCGGCGUCACUGCAGCCGCUCUUACUGGCGCUCUCCUCUGCCUUUGCGUGGGGUGCUGCGACUCCGGCGCUCAACAACGCGGCGGCCUCACUUCACGAUAGCCGUCUACGGCGCUACGCGACACGCCCGGACUCCUGCGUGCUCCCGGUUGUCCAUCUCCCAGCACCGCUGGAACUUGCAGCCGUCGCGCACAAUGAGGCGGCAGAGGUGGAGGCCGGAGGGCAUGCUGGAUUGUCCAAGGUCCGCUUCGACCUCCGCAGUCGCGCGUGCGAGGAUGAGGAGACGUACAUCGGUGCGGACCACCACCAGCAGCGGCAGCUCGUGCAGCUGCUCACCGUUGCGCAGAUUGAUAUGCAGGCUCCCACGACGCGACACCUGUGUGAUGGGGUGUUGGCAGCCAGCUCAGCGAGUGCGCGCGCUACGGUGGAGCUCCUGCAGCUCGCCCAAGUGCGCGAAGCCUUGAGUGCAACGUUGUUGAGGCGCCGAGGUCGGAAUCGCCUGUCGAUCGCGAAACCACAGCCGGUGCUUCCGGUGCCGGAUCUGCGCCCCCUCCUUCCAGACCGACUCGCCGCGCUCCUUCAGUCACACCUGCAGCGGGCCGUCACGCAGACCUGCCAAGUGGCGGAGUCGCACAUGCUAGUGCAGCGGUUGAUGCACCACAACGAAACGCUAGUGUCCGCGCUGAAGAUGCGGACUAACGAGCACGCCGCCGCCUCCGCGGAGGUGCGGUCUCUGACAUCGCAGCUGCAGCUGCAGCAGGCGGAGCGAGCGGAGCGCACCGCCGUGCAGGAGAGGCUGGUCGAGGUGCGCGCAUCACUCCUGCGGGAGCGCGAGCUGCGCCGCGCGGCGGAGGCGCGUCUGGCGGAGUUGCAACAGGCGCGACUUCAGUGGCUCAGCGAUCGAGAGCAGUACAAGCGUGAGGUGUACUCGUUGAACAUGGAGUUGGCCAGCACCUCUGUGGGAGGUGCGUCGCCUGCUGGCGGGGGGACGCGCCCUCUUCCUCCUUUUGCACAUGGAGGUGGUGCUGGGCCGGCAUUGGCCACAUCUGCACUGUCGAUACAAGUGGAUAACACAACUAUGUCGGACGCCGCGCGCCGCCCUGCGGCACCGCCGUCACACCUGGAUGCACUCGCGGACAGUGUGAUGGACGGGAGUGCGCUGUGCGAGCAGGAUUUUGCGCACGGCAGCCAUCCGCAGGUCUGGCGCGCAGCAGCUUUCGCGGCGGAGGUGGACUACCAGCGGAACUCCGAGAACGUCUACUACCACGAGCUGCUCCGAAACGGCCAUGAGCGCGACAGCCACGCUCGCGCCGGGCAUCGUCAUGGAGGCAAUAUUGGCGCACACGCGGACGCCCCAAAGUGGAGUAGCGCGCAUGGUGAGACACCCCCGUUGCGGACGCCGCAUUACCGCCCCCGUACCAACUUGCCCACACCGCAGGAUCUCGCCGAGAGCGGAUCGCCGGACGAUACCCGCUCUGCUGGUGCUGCUCCUGGUGCUGGCGGUGGUGGAGGAGGGGUUCGGCCAACCAGCGAUACCGAUGCGUCCCUGUGGAACGAACAGCGACAGCCGCACGGUCCAUCAUGCGCGAUAGGCCUUUCGCCGACAGCGGCCAGUAUGGACACACUGAAGACGACAACGCCUGCGGAACGGCCGCCUGCACCGCAGCCGCUGCUAACUUCGGCGAACGCGCUGGAGUUGUACGUGCCAAGCGUGGCUCGCCAGCGUGAGAAGCCCCGCAGUCACAACGCCGUGAACUGUGAGGAGCGACGGCUGGACACCACCGCCAAGAUGACCCGAGCGAAGCGAAAGACUAUCAACAACGAAGGGUUCGGCAUCGUGAGCCACGCUGCCGCGACUGCAUCGCCAUCUUCAUCAUUUCUGGCGGAUGCGCCAGCACCAGAGUCGGAUGUUUGCGCCGCAACGCCGCCACCUCUCUCGCCACCGCCGCCACUGCGAUCCACAGCGGACACGGAGACGCCGGCGGAGGAACGCCGCGGAUCGACGCAUCAGCAGCUACGGAGGUCUGCGGCGAAUGUGGUGGAGCCACCGUCCGCAGUCGCCGCCAACCACGGAUCCACUGCCUCCACGGCCGCGUCCUUUUCGGCUCCGCGACCGCCGCCACCGCACUCUCCAUCGAAGGGCGUGAGCGCCUCUGCGUCGGCCGACAUGCGCACAGAGGCGCCUACAUUAUCGAGGGAGGAGUUCGACUCCACUGGCCAACCUACAGCAGCUGCGGGCGUGACCCGCCACGUCAGCGGUCCGCUCUACUUCCGUGCCCGGCCAGCGCGGUAGCGGUGCCAGCCAUUUCCGUCGCCGCGCGCUUCCAGAUCUGCAGUAGUAUUCACGAACCCCGUUCCUUUCCCUUACUGUUCUUGUUUUCCUGCGAUCUGGCGGACAGGGCGUCCCCUCGCGAUUUU
rnacentral:misc_RNA from 1 species